GCCUUAGUCAAGCAGGUCCUUUCACUAGCUACUUUUGUGACACUUCUAGUGUCACUAGUAGCUGCUGGUACUUCUCUUAGUCUCCUUCAGGCUAACAUUCCUGCUAAAUCUGUAUAUGGGGAAGCAUGCUUUUUUUUUGUUAAUUAUUCUCAAGCUAUGUCACUCAUUCAGCCACAGCCAGACCACCCAGAUUUCAACUUUAAUGUGCCCACUUGUAAGUUGAGUAUAGCAAGUGCUACCAUUGCUACAAUAUGUCUGGCUCUGCUAACUGCCAUUGAGCUAAUCAGUGUUUCAUUUCAAAUAAAUGUCAAAACGUUGAUUGCUAACAUUAUUCAAGUUGGAUUCUUUGUUGGUUCUAUUUUGUUCCUAUUCAUACCAUGGUUGUGGUUUCAGCUGGUUGGAGAAAGACUUGUGAUACAUUCAACAUUAUAACACAACAACCACAAUAUCAUGAGUUGGUCUUUAAAUGCCAUGGAGAACAACCAAAUUAUGGUUUACGAUAUCGACCAAAUGGUGGAGAAUUCAUAGGAGCUGCUGUAUGUGCUGGUGUUGGUAUUCUAUUCACUAUUGUAGCUCUUGGUCUCUUUAUUGUGAAGCAGAUAAAGUCAAAAGAUGAUUAUAAACUUCUAAGUG